rnacentral:rRNA from 1 species
UACGUGAGGGGCGAACGUUGUUCGGUGUCACUGGGCUUAAAGGGUGCGUAGGUGGUUGCGUAAGUAAGAUGUGAAAUCCCUCGGCUUACCCGGGGAAUUGCAUUUUAUACUGCGUGACUUGAAGGGAAGCUAAAGGGGAAAAGGGAACUCCAGGGUGAUAGCGGUGAAAUGGACGCAGAUAUCUGGGGGAAGGCCGGCGGCGAAGGCGCUUUUCUGGUUAGAUCCUGACACGUGAGGCACGAAAGCGUGGGGAGCAAACAGG